rnacentral:rRNA from 1 species
CAUGCAAGUCGUACGGGCGGGGGUGACUCGUCAGUGGCGGACGGGUGAGUACGCGUAGGUAUCUGUCCUUGGGUGGGGGAUAACCGUGGGAAACUGCGGCUAAUACCGCAUAUGUCCUGACGGGCAAAGGCCUGACAGGGUCUCCUGACGGUGAUCCUGCAUCCUAUUACCUGGUUGGUGGGGUAAUGCCCUACCAGUGCUAUGAUCGGUAACUGGUCUGAGAGGAUGGUCAGCCACACUGGGACUGAGACACGGCCCAGACUCCUACGGGAGGCAGCAGUGGGGAAUAUUGGACAAUGGGCGAAAGCCUGAUCCAGCAAUGCCGCGUGGGUGAAGAAGGUCUUCGGAUUGUAAAGCCCUUUCAGCAGGGACGAUGAUGACGGUACCCGCAGAAGAAGCCCCGGCUAACUUCGUGCCAGCAGCCGCGGUAAUACGAAGGGGGCUAGCGUUGCUCGGAAUGACUGGGCAUAAAGGGCGCGUAGGCGGGCUCUCAUCGUCGGGCGUGAAAUUCCUGGGCUUAAGCCGGGGGCUGCGUACGAUACAUGGGGGCUUGAAUGUGGGAAAUGGUCGGGGAGUAGCGAGUG